rnacentral:rRNA from 1 species
CCAAUAGCGUAUAUUAAAGUUGUUGCAGUUAAAAAGCUCGUAGUUGAAUUUCGGGAUUAGUAGAUUGGUCAUGCCUCCGGUAUGUACUGGUCUUACUGGUUCCUCCUUCCUGAUGAACCGUAAUGCCAUUAAUUUGGUGUUGCGGGGAGACUGGACUGUUACUUUGAAAAAAUUAGAGUGUUUAAAGCAGGCUAACGCUUGAAUACAUUAGCAUGGAAUAAUGAAAUAGGACGUUCGAUCCUAUUUUGUUGGUUUCUAGGAUUGACGUAAUGAUUAAUAGGGAUAGUUGGGGGCAUUAAUAUUCAAUUGUCAGAGGUGAAAUUCUUGGAUUUAUUGAAGACUAACUACUGCGAAAGCAUUUGCCAAGGAUGUUUUCAUUAAUCAAGAACGAAAGUUAGGGGAUCGAAGACGAUCAGAUACCGUCGUAGUCUUAACCAUAAACUAUGCCGACUAGGGAUCGGAUGAUGUUAAUUUUUUAAUGACUCAUUCGGCGCCUUACG